rnacentral:rRNA from 1 species
UACUAGAGUAGCACUCGCAUAUCAAUAAGCGGAGGAAAAGAAACUAACAAGGAUUCCCCUAGUAACGGCGAGUGAAGCGGGAAGAGCUCAAAUUUGAAAUCUUAAAGGGUUUCCCUUUACGAAUUGUAGUUUAAAGAAGUGUUUUCUGUUGAGGUUUUGGUAAAAGUUCUUUGGAAUAGGACAUCAUAGAGGGUGAGAAUCCCGUAUUUGACCUUUACUUUCAACUUUGUGAUACACUUUCAAAGAGUCGGAUUGUUUGGGAAUGCAGUCCAAAAUGGGUGGUAAAUUUCAUCUAAAGCUAAAUAUUGGCGAGAGACCGAUAGCGAACAAGUACCGUGAGGGAAAGAUGAAAAGAACUUUGAAAAGAGAGUUAAACAGUACGUGAAAUUGUCAAAGGGAAGCGUUUGACACCAGUGUUGUUUUUCUGAAAAUCAAUUAAAGAACUGUUUAUGCUAAGUUGUUUAGACUUUAUCAGCUAACUGUUUAGUUUUGAGCUUUUCUUUAAUGCACUUUUCAGUUAACAAGUCAACAUCAAUUUCUUUUGCUGUAAAAAAGCUUGAGGAAGGUGGCUUGAGAUUCGUCUUAAGUGUUUAUAGCCUCUUGCCUAUGCAGUCGGAGAGAUUGAGGUCUGCAGCGUAGAUCCUUCGGGGCUAAAUGCAUUUGUGCUAAGUUAUAGCAUUUUAUAGACAACUUGUUGACUAUGAUUUGUCUUGUAAGCUUACUCGCUUAUGUUAUUUUACCUACGCUUAGGAUGUUGAUAUCGCGCUCUCACUG